rnacentral:tRNA from 1 species
GGCCUGGUAGCCAAGUAGUAAGGCACGGGUCUGCAAAACCCUUAUACGCGGGUGCAAUUCCCGCCCAGGCCU